rnacentral:rRNA from 1 species
GACGAACGCUGGCGGCGUGCUUAACACAUGCAAGUCGAACGGACAGGCCCUGCUUUUGUGGGGUGCUCGAGUGGCGAACGGGUGAGUAACACGUGAGUAACCUGCCCUUGACUUUGGGAUAACUUCAGGAAACUGGGGCUCAUACCGGAUAGGAGCUCCUGCUGCAUGGUGGGGGUUGGAAAGUUUCGGCGGUUGGGGAUGGACUCGCGGCUUAUCAGCUUGUUGGUGGGGUAGUGGCUUACCAAGGCUUUGACGGGUAGCCGGCCUGAGAGGGUGACCGGCCACAUUGGGACUGAGAUACGGCCCAGACUCCUACGGGAGGCAGCAGUGGGGAAUAUUGCACAAUGGGCGGAAGCCUGAUGCAGCAACGCCGCGUGCGGGAUGACGGCCUUCGGGUUGUAAACCGCUUUCGCCUGUGACGAAGCGUGAGUGACGGUAAUGGGUAAAGAAGCACCGGCUAACUACGUG